rnacentral:rRNA from 1 species
CGUAACGCGUAUGCAAUCUACCUUUUACAGAGGGAUAGCCCAGAGAAAUUUGGAUUAAUACCUCAUAGUAUAGCUGAAUCGCAUGAUUCUACUAUUAAAGUCACAACGGUAAAAGAUGAGCAUGCGUCCCAUUAGCUUGUUGGUAAGGUAACGGCUUACCAAGGCUACGAUGGGUAGGGGUCCUGAGAGGGAGAUCCCCCACACUGGUACUGAGACACGGACCAG